GCUUUGAUUUUCUGUUAUAAGAUUUAAAGAAUAACUAUGUUACCACUGUAUUCAAAAUAGUCACAAAACUGGAUUAGUACCCAGGUAUGGAUACAUCUUAAAGUACUCAAAUUAWACCUAAACUGUCUGGGACCUAUUUAUUCUUUUUAUAGAAUAUUCCGGUUUGGGGG
rnacentral:rRNA from 1 species